rnacentral:lncRNA from 10 species
AGUCCCUGGAGUUCCCAGCCAAGCCACAGACCUGCCUCUGAGGAAGGGAAUCGAGCAGGGAGUAGGAGGGGACCUCUGGGGACUCGGGCCUGGUAAGUGGGGCUCUGGCAGGCAGAACGGGGCUGGGGUGUCAGCACCACCCCGCCCAUUCCUCUCUGCUUUGGUCACAGCAUCCCUGGUCUCCACCUUGCUCACUGGCUUCUCGUUUGGGCUGGAAUGGGCCUCUGACUCCUGUCUGCCCCAGCCUCCUUCCCGUACUCCCGGGUUCUCCCUUUUCCUUGUUCCCUAAAGCCAGUGCUAAUUAAGACACACCCUCUUUGCAUGUUCCUUCCACCAUUAUCCCACACCCUCAAUAGGAAGAAAAAAAAAAAAAAGACACACCCUCUUUGUUGGUGGGCCUCCUCGGGGAGAUGCUGAACAGGGACCACUCUCUAAUUCCAGGUCCCAGGUGCACCGCAGCUCUUGGGCCUGCGAAGAGAGGCACUGGAGCUGCACCUUUUCCCUCGUGGCACACCUCAGGGGCUUACUUUCCCAGUCUGAAGAGUGGGGUGUAUCCCUGAGCUGAAAAGCACUUGUGAGAUCCUGGGAGAGAUCAACUUCCCAGACAUCACGUAUGGUUUCUGUCCUACAUCUCUUGGCUCUGCAUAGCCUGGGAAUAACUUGAGUGUACACAUGGAUAAAAUGAAACUGGGGGCUGUCUUUGAUAUGGGACAGGGGUCACUGUGAGGCAGAGAAGCCAGUAAGCAUUGAACAACAGAAGGGGGUUCCGGAGACCUGGCCUGGUCCUGUUGCUGUGUGGCUUAGUCCCUUACUCUAUCUGAUCCAGGUGCCACGGCUUACCAAUGGAAGAUUAGGCCAGAUGGCUCCUGAGAGUGCUUUGGGAGAUUCUCUGUUCCUUCUGGGAAUGGCAGGGAUAGGAGGGGGUCCCAGAAGUUUGAACGCUUUGGCAUCCAAGAAAUCACACUCCAAAUACUGCUCUUCUGGCCUCCCCUGGGCUGCCUUCUCCAACCGUGUUCCUGGGAACCGAAGGGCAGAAAUUGCCCUCUUGGGCUUAUAAACAAGGUAUGAAGGACCUGUCCUUAAUUUGGCUCCUGUAUAUUCUUUAUUUUGGAAAUGCCUGGAGCCCACCUAGAGAGGAGGCAACUAGAGUGGACAUUCUUUGGGAACUAUAGACCUCCCAACCCCAUCCUUGCCAGGCAGCAUUUGUUCACCCAUUGCACUGUUCUUCAGGACUGAGGCUUGGACUCCAGCAUGUCUCUACCCUUUAAAUGCCCAGAAUCCAGCCCAGAGGUAGGGGGCUUCCAAUACCUCCUGGCCAGCAACUUGUCAACGCUGACACCUCAGCUCCCCAGCAUGGGGUUUCCAUCUCAGACUCCAGACAAGAUUCCUCCAAAGAGCCACUGGUGUGACUGACACCAAGCAAGAUGCUGAGGCAGGGCUUACUGAGGGCCGGGACCUGGAGGGUUAAGCCUUCCCUCCCUCCUGCUUGCCCCCUGCAGUGUUGGCCUCAGCUGCUUGGAAUCCCUGGGGUCCUGUAGGGCCCUCCCGCCAGCCAGAUGGGCAGCUGCUGCAGCAGAGGAGGGGGAGAAAUGGAAACAGGCCUCAGGGUACCCCUAGGCAGGGAGGGAAGGGAAGAGGAGUGGAGGGAGGACAGAGGAUGGCUGUGAGGAAGGGAACUCAGUUGCCCUAACGUGAAGGCAGGACCCCUCGCCUUGACUCGGACAGCAGGGCAGGGGCUGCCUCAAGGCUUUGGAUGUGGGGGGAUCAGGGCACAUGCCAUUCCACUCAGCGGGCCUCAGAGCCAGCUCUUGGCGUGAAACCUUACCCGAUGCUGGCUCCUGCUCCUCUCUCUUUUUUUCUUAAUAAGGUCGAAUCAGAGUGAGUCAGAGGAGCCAAGUUUCCUGUUAGGCUCUAUUUGAAUAAACUCUGCUCUGAACAUAGCCUGGGCCUCUGCACAGACUCCCCUGGCCAGGACUGCGCUCCUGCCAGCCAUCCCUGCUGAGAUGGAGACCUGGGGGU